rnacentral:rRNA from 1 species
GACGAACGCUGGCGGCGUGCUUAACACAUGCAAGUCGAACGGAAAGGCCCUGCUUUUGUGGGGUGCUCGAGUGGCGAACGGGUGAGUAACACGUGAGUAACCUGCCCUUGACUUUGGGAUAACUUCAGGAAACUGGGGCUAAUACCGGAUAGGAGCUCCUGCUGCAUGGUGGGGGUUGGAAAGUUUCGGCGGUUGGGGAUGGACUCGCGGCUUAUCAGCUUGUUGGUGGGGUAGUGGCUUACCAAGGCUUUGACGGGUAGCCGGCCUGAGAGGGUGACCGGCCACAUUGGGACUGAGAUACGGCCCAGACUCCUACGGGAGGCAGCAGUGGGGAAGAUUGCACAAUGGGUGGAAGCCUGAUGCAGCAACGCCGUGUGCGGGAUGACGGCCUUCGGGUUGUAAACCGCUUUCGCUCAUGACGAAGCUUUGUGUGACGGUAGUGGGUAAAGAAGCACCGGCUAACUACGUG